UUAGGGCUGGGCUAGUAGUUUGCUGCUGGCAGCUGGAAGAACAACAUCUGGCUGAGUUGCUGCUUGGAACAUCCUUGGAGGCAACACAGCUUGGAGUUGGCUUUGGUGAGGAGGAGAGGAUCUGGACCUGAAUACUUGCUGCGUGGCAAAGGCACCAACCCUCAUCUCCAUGAACCGAAGGAAGCUGCUGGACUCAAUGCAGAUGGGGAAAACCGAGGCACAGUGAGCCAAACUCUCUCCCAGUCAUUUCUCCAUUCAACUUCAUUUGUGCUGUAACAGAAACACGUCCAGUCCUGGUAUAACGGGAGAGGGAGACCCCCUCACAGCCUGGCUUAGCACAUGUGAGCUGUGAGGCCCACUUAAGUGAUGUGUCGGUAUUGCAAUGGCCUUCAAAACGUGGGGGAAUUGCACCCUUACCAGAUGUUAUACAUAGACUCACUUCGCCUGCCACUGCCCUGCCGCCUCCCUGGGAAGGAACACCAUUGCUAGCCAGCCUACGCAGCAGGCAUCUUAUUUGGGGGUAUGUGCUAUGUGGAUAAAUACGGUAAUACCUUGUCCUUGUUUAGUGUUUUUCAUCCAUCGAUCCCCAAGGGCGUUACAAAGGAGAUCAGCAUCUGCAUUUUACAGAUGGGAAAACUGAGGCAUAGUGAGGCAAAGUGACCUGACCAAGGUGACCGGCAAACUAGGGGCAGAGACGGGCAUAAAACUGUGAUCUCCUGAGUCCCGGUCCAGUGCCCUGGCAUUAAGCUAGCAUUGGGACCAUCCGUGGGUUUAAGACUGCUUGUAUUUGACUGCUUUGCUAACUGGAACAACUGGAACAAAAAAAGGGUUUGUUUUUUUGUCUUUAUUCCUUCUUUCCAGUACAAGGUGUCUCUUAUAUGGUGGUAUGUGUUAAAUGGGUAAAUAUGGUAAUACCU